CUUGGUCAUUUAGAGGAAGUAAAAGUCGUAACAAGGUUUCCGUAGGUGAACCUGCGGAAGGAUCAUUAUUGAAAUUAUAGGCAAAGGUUGUAGCUGGCCUCUCGGGGCAUGUGCACGCCUGAGCCCCUUAAUCCACACACACCUGUGAACCAAUUGUAAGGGCCCCCUGAAAAGGGCCUUUACGUCUUAUUCAUCAACCCAUUGCAUGUCUCAGAAUGUAAACAUAUGUCCUCGCCUUGAAAAGCGUUGAUAAACUUAUACAACUUUCAACAACGGAUCUCUUGGCUCUCGCAUCGAUGAAGAACGCAGCGAAAUGCGAUAAGUAAUGUGAAUUGCAGAUUUUCAGUGAAUCAUCGAAUCUUUGAACGCACCUUGCGCUCCUUGGUAUUCCGAGGAGCAUGCCUGUUUGAGUGUCAUUAAAUUCUCAACUCCGAUCGAUUUGUUUCGACCUCGGAGCUUGGACUUUGGAGUGUGCUGGCGUCGGUCGGCUCCUCUCAAAUGCAUCAGCGGAAUCUAACGUUUCGGAGGUCAGUGUGAUAAUCACGUUGCGCUGUCAACCGAUCCUGAAAGGCCCGCUCAUAAUGGUCUUCGGACAACUUCAUAUCAAAUUUGACCUCAAAUCAGGUAGGACUACCCGCUGAACUUAAGCAUAUCAAUAAGCGGAGGAA
rnacentral:rRNA from 1 species